ensembl:lncRNA ATXN1-AS1 ATXN1 antisense RNA 1
GGGCGAUGAGGUAAUUUGAGCGGUGACGGGUCGGUCCUCGCGCGCCUCCCUGGGUCCCUGCACCUAGUUGGAGGGGACUGAACGACAACGGGGCGCUACUCAGGCAACCUGGGGGACUCCCCCAAGGGCUGUCAGGCUUCAGCUGGGAGCCGAUGCAACACCCCAGCGGGGAGGGGAGGUCGGCCCAUUCUAAUCCCGACGUGUCCUUGGUCCCAGGCGCUCGGAGCAGCAUCUGAGAGGGCUCACUCUGAUCAUCAGCUGCACGUUAAGCCACAAACCGGCGUCGCUUCGGCGUUCCGGAACCCAGGCCUGGGGGCCGCGGGGAUUGCCUCUGCGUGCAACUCCGGAAAGUUUCAAGGGGUCCCCCGACUGCACAGGUACCCUCACCUUUCCUGCCGGCGAACGCUGGCGACCGCCCGACCCUGCCCUCUUUCUCUCUUCGCACGCAGGUCCGGAAAUCGGCUUUGAUAUGGAACUACUCCGCUCUAGCCUGGAAAGGAGACCCGCGCACUCCUCUCGCAGCUAAUUUCGGAUCAUUAAUUUAAUCGGAAAUGAGGUAACCAGUGUAGGAGACAGAGAAAGCAACCGGAGCAUCAAAUGGCAGUUCUCGAGAAUCGACGAGGAACUUAAAUCUGGACUCAGGGUUUCAGUGCGGUCUCCGACUCCCACCACCCCGCCCCUCCGCCUGUCUCGCCGCCAGGUGUGACCUCCACGCGAAGGAAUCUUCUUCGGAUGGGUGCACCUUGCCAACAGGUGUGGCACCUGGAGGACUAGGAGGCGCCUCCAGACUAAGGGCGCUCAGUGCGGCGUUCUUGUUGCAGAUGAUUCUGGAAGGCCGGUAGGUGUCGGGCGACAUUUGACCUUCUUCAGGUGCUUAGAACUAAGUGUCUGGAAACAUGAUCCUUUCGCGUAAGUUUCUUUCUGAAAGCCACCAAUCUUGACUGUAAGCUGUAUUUGAGAGAUCUUUUGGCUGAGUUUACUUAUGACCUAACGGUUAGUCACCAACUGAGGCAGGGCACAGGAUGACCAAAAAAAAAGUGUCAGUUUUUACACAACUCUGGCCUGCAAGAGCCUACGUGCUUCAUAAAUAAAAAUAAACAUACGAGCGAGGAAGGUGCAGAGCCCCGGAAAUAUUUUUUUCUCACAUUUUUGAAAUACCAUGCACAUAUAUGUGGCUAUUUAAGUAUAACUACUAGUGUUCACUCUUACUCAUUUCUACAACUUUUUUUUUUCCAUUUAAAAAUCGAUUAUUGUUACGGUUUAAACCUCGGGUUGGUCUAAAGUGACAUUGUUGGUCUCAUUACAGCCUCUAGUGGACAGUUAACAUCAGUUUCCUGAAAAGGCUCUGACUGGUUUUGUUUUCGUUGACAAGCUUUGUCAAGGUGAAGGUUAGUACGUAAGAGCAUAACCGGGUAAAAUGUCCCCUCACCCCUAUCCUCACCCCCGCCCCCAACACCCUGCUUGGCAAAGACGACUUCAGAAAGGAGCAGAAGCUUGUUGGCUUUAUAUAGAAAAGACGUAUGCUUUGUGCUGCAGGUAUUAUUAUUACUGGACUGUGAAUAAACAGAAAGCUUCUGCUAUUCAUUUCAGUUUCAGACAGCUUUCAUAAAAACUAAA